rnacentral:rRNA from 1 species
GACGAGGGACCUAGCGUUGUUCGGAAUCAUUGGGCGUAAAGCGGGUGUAGGCGGGCUUAUAAGUCAGGUGUGAAAUCCCAGGGCUCAACCCUGGAAGUGCACUUGAUACUGUAAGUCUUGAAUGUGGUAGAGGUUACUAGAAUUCCUGGUGUAGUGGUGAAAUACGUAGAUAUCAGGAGGAAUACCAGAGGCGAAGGCGGGUAACUGGGCCAACAUUGACGCUGAGAUCCGAAAGUGUGGGGAGUCAAAACAGG